UGCGUGACCAACCUGCCCCAUGCUCCAGAAUAGCUCUUGGAAACGGGUGGUAAUGCUGGAUGCUCCAACUUGACGCAUGUCUUGUUGGGAAGUGUUUAGUGGCAUGGGAUGGGGUCGCGUCCUAUCAGCUUGUAGGCGGGGUAAUGGCCCACCUAGGCUUCGACGGGUAGCCGGCCUGAGAGGGCGGACGGCCACAUUGGGACUGAGAUACGGCCCAGACUCCUACGGGAGGCAGCAGUU
rnacentral:rRNA from 1 species